UUAAUUUAUUUUUGUUUUUGAGACUCAGAGAGUAUGCCACUGUUCAAAGCAAGAGUUUGGGUCCUCCGGCGGGCGCCUGGUUCCGGGCCGCUAGGGGCGCCGGGGCGGUCCCGCCGAGGCAACGUUGUGGUAUGUUCACAGGGGUUUGGGAGUUGAUAACUCGGUAAUGAUCCCUCCGCUGGUUCACCAACGGAGA
rnacentral:misc_RNA from 1 species